GUGAGGCGGGAGGCCAGCAGACGCUCCUUCAUAUUUUCACCUCGUGUGACUGACUCCUGGCGUCUGCUAGCAAAUACACACGAUGGUGAACCACAGGGUACAGCUGGUGCAGAGCAAGCGGUACUCCACCCCAAGGAGGCCCUUCGAGAAGCCCCGCCUUGACCAGGAACUGAAGCUGGUGGGCGAGUAUGGGCUGCGUAACAAGAGGGAGCUGUGGAUCGUGAAGAUGUUCCUCGCUAAGAUCCGUAAGGCGGCCCGAGAGCUGCUCACCCUGGACGAGAAGGACGCUCGCAGGCUUUUCCAAGGCAAUGCUCUGCUGCGUCGGCUGGUGAGGACCGGUGUUCUGGAGGAGGGCCGCAUGAAGCUUGAUUACGUGCUGGGUCUGAAGCCCGAGGACUUCCUGGAGCGCAGGUUGCAGACUCAGGUGUUCAAGUUGGGUCUGGCCAAGUCCAUCCACCACGCCAGGGUGCUCAUCAAGCAGGGACACAUCAGGUAACAGUAGGCGAUGAUGCCAUGCCAAGUAGGAAGUGGUGGUGCCAGUAACACCAGCAGGGCCACUUGCUAGGGUUAUCCCAGCAAUGUCCUGGCUGUUCAUUGAGGCCACUUGGCUGGGUACAUCCCGGCCAACGCCUUACUUGCCUGCCGGCGUGUAGGAGUGCUGUGCUGUGCUGUGCUGGGAUGUGGGAGUGAGGAAGCAGGUCGUCAACGUUCCCUCCUUCAUCGUCCGCCUUGAUUCCCAGAAGCACAUUGACUUCUCCCUCAAGAGUCCCUUCGGUGGUGGACGCUACGGCCGCGUCAAGAGGAAGAACAUGCGCAAGGGAGGCAGCAAGACUGAGGACGGCAGCGGCGAGGACGAUUAGACUAUGAUUAGGUGGUGACCAUGACCUGUUGGUAAAUAAAGUCGCCAUGGUGA